UACUUAGGAAUCUACCCAGUAGUGGGGAACAACACGACGAAAGUCGUGCUAAUACCGCAUACGCCCUAUGGGGAAAAGUGGAGGAUCUUCGGACUUCACGCUAUUGGAUGAGCCUAAGCCGGAUUAGCUUGUUGGUGGGGUAAAAGCCUACCAAGGCGACGAUCCGUAGCUGGUCUGAGAGGACGAUCAGCCACACUGGGACUGAGACACGGCCCAGACUCCUACGGGAGGCAGCAGUGGGGAAUAUUGGACAAUGGGCGCAAGCCUGAUCCAGCAAUACCGCGUGUGUGAAGAAGGCCU
rnacentral:rRNA from 1 species